UACUAUUGAUCAUGGGAUCCCAUGCAUCUCAUCUUUGUACGAGAGGAAAAUAAUAUAUAGAUAGACAGACAGAUAGAUAGAUAGAUAGAUAAAAAGGUCAGAGUGAAGAAUUAGCUAGGAGCUAGGAGGAGCAACAUUAAUUUGGAAGUUGAGAAGGAGAAAUGGCCAAGAGGAUUAGUAUGGCCAGCAUCACAAGUGGAACAAAGAGUAGCGUUGACGGCGGCGGAUGAAGCGGCGGCAACAGCAGCGGCAGCAGCAAGAGCGCCGCCGUAAAGACCACCGUACUGAUGAUUAAAGCUCUCAAACUAAAACACUUGUGCAUCAAAGCACUACUCGUCUUCAACUGCCUCUUAUCAUCCAAUGACACUACACGUCGACUAUGAUCCAAACCAUACACCAUCAUCUUAAUCCAAUCGAUCUCUUCUUGUUUGUCAGCUAGAUAUAUAUAUAUAGAUGCGAAUUAAUUUCUGUAUUUGUUGAUACUAUAUAUAUAUAUAUAUAUAGAGAGAGAGAGAGCAGAGAGAGAGAGUGUUGUGUAGGUCGUCAUUUUGACAAGUGAGUUGAACAAACCAUACAAACCUAUUUUCGAAUUCUAGGUUGGAUUCGUAGCACCAAGGCCCCGUUCGCCCUCAUCAUAUCGACUUAGACACGUAACUCUCUUUCCCUUUCACUUCUCUCCCACACUACGCAAGUGUCCAUUCAUCAAUAUAAUAAUAGUUAUUGUAUUACUAAAGUUUUUAAUCAAAUUAUAAUCGUGUACAUAAAAUAAAUAUGCAUUAAAACUAAUUUUAUCAUAAUUUAUUUUAUCUUAUUACAUAAAUUUUAUAUAUGUAUUAUAAUUUAACUUCGUCAUGUAUCACAUAUUUAUUAAUGUGUAUCAUUUUCCAUUAUAUAUAUAUGUACAUGCUUAAUGAUGUGUCAAAAAAAUUUCUACAAAUUGUAAAGGAAUACUUACCGCACUUAUUGUAAAGGAAAUUCAAGUGUCUCUAAUUAAAAAAUGCUUUAAAAAAGUUAUUACAAAAUGUCCGGAUAAUUAGACAAAAUUUGUUUAUAUUUGUGUAAAUAAGAAUAUGAGACCCCUUACGUGUUAACUCGAUAUCACACUCUCCUCACUUGAUUAUACAAUUAAACUAUCUAUCUUAAAAUUAAUUGAGUAUAAGAAGAAUUGACCUGACACGCUAUAUACUAGACAAACUUUCUAAAAUAUUUAAUGUGGAAUAAGUUAGUGCAUAUAUUAUAAUAAAUAAUAUUGCACAUUACGUAUAUUAUACUAAUAAAUAAAUAUAAAUUUCCAAUAGUUAGAAAUAUUUUAAUGCUAAUAGGAUAAGACAAAUUCAGGAUGUUUACCCUAACCACUGUUAUGCACGUACGACUGAUAGCACCAACAACCAAGAAAAUGAAAUCCAACUUUAUUUUGUGCGUGGUUCAAUACCCCAAAAAAGGGAGCCAUAUAUAUUUGGUGGUGAAAGAUAUAGAUUUUGGAUUCUUUCCACGUUACGAUCUGAGUUACUUACAGCAUUAAUUAGGUUCAAGUGAUGUGGUCCUAGUUUAGCUUAAUUUAUGAACAUCAUCAAUAUUUAAUUUUAAUUCUUUGUCAUGUAUUGGGGAAAUUUUUUUGAAAAUCGAUUUUACCUAGUCUUAAUUUUGUGUACAAGUUGAAACACUAGAAAUGAUGGGAUAAUUUGGAUUUGAAGGUUGGAUUCCUACUGAAAAAGGAGGUUGUAAUGUUCCAUUUUACCCUUCAUAUAAUGAAAUAUUAUAAUUAAGCAUCCUCUAACCCUAAAAAUUGAAAUUAUGAAACAACAAGAUAUGAUGAUGGGGCUAUUAUUAAGUCUUUCAACGGUCAAGUCUAAAAAGAUGGUACAAACGGUUAAAAAAUUAUAUUGGAACGUUGUUAUUCUAUUCAAUAAAAUAAAAUAAAUUAAUCAUUAUAUUAAGUACUUAAAUAUGAAUUGGGAGAAAACGUCUUAUAUGUAUUAAGUUUUUGUUGCGUUUAAGAGUAAAAAAUUCAUUUGUCUUUUUCAAUCUUAAAAUGAAUAUAUAGAUGUGUAUAAAACUUUUUGAGACAACAAUUAAGACAAAACCCUAAUUGUUUUACUUAUAAAAUAGCUAGAUAAGGGCAGAGGCGGAACCCGGGGGUCCGGGGGAUCAUAUGACCCCCCCAACCUAGAAUUUCUCCAGGGGUUAUUUGCUUUCAUUUCCCUUCUUUUUUCUUUUAUGUAUUUUCUUUUCUUCUUUGCUUUUCUCUCGCUUUUGAUUUAUCAUCAAAAUGAGACAAAAAAAGGUGAUAGCAAUUCUCUCUGUAAACUAAUUAAAAAUAAAAGACUAAAGAAAUAAAAUAAUUUUUUUUAAAUCCCACUAUAGUAACUAUAAGUUCACCAUAAUUCUAUCCUAUCAAACGACUUGAAUAAGAAUAUCCUUGUUUAAAUGCAUGCUAGUUACAACUCAAAAGUCAAAUUAAAGAAGGCAAUGAUGAAAACAAUGCUUUAAUGUUUGACAGGGGCAGCCUGGAGAAAUUCUAUAGUCAGCCAAAUGAUUUAGUGCCCUGCAAUGUUUGGAACCUAUUUAAGGUACUUGUUUCUUUUGGUUGUGCAUAUAACCUGUAAAAGAUUGGGACAGCCUGGAGAAAUUCUAAUCUAUUUGUUUCAAACAGGAUAACGAAUUCCUUCGUACGUGAUACCAACCAACCAAAAUAUUAAAUCAAAUGCAACUGAUCAUGGUACUCCAUGCUUGAUUUUGAAAUCAAAAUAUGAAAAAUUGCUAAAUCAUUUACAUUAAUUAAUUAUCUGAGCAUAGACAGGAUACUUGAACUUGGAUCAUUUUCCUAUUGAAAUCACAGGAAAAAUUAGAACCAUUAUUGAUGCAAUUUUUCUAGGGAAGAAUAUCAACAAGGAAGUCGUACUUAAAUAUUUGCAUACACUUGUGCUCAGCUUGUCGUUAUACCCUCCAUAUAUAUGUUAUCUCUAGCUAGACACGUACGUAAUUUUCUGAUCAACAAUGUUAUCUCUAGCUAGAAAGGCCCAAUUUUAUGCACAUUCAUCGUAGUUCUAUUGCUAUAUAAAUGGAUUGUUUAAGAUGCAUAAGUACUAUUACUCAUGAAUCGGUCACUAACUUGAGACAUCCCAAAAUAUUCAUGCUUUUUGGUAUUUCAAUGCAACGAUAAUUGGAGUGGACUGCAUUAUCUUUCUAAAGAAAAAGUUUGUUGAACCCCACCAUCAGUUGCAUUUGAUUUAAUUGCAAAAUUGAAAUGAUCAGUGGUAUUAGGAUAAUAACAUUAAAAUAUUCAUGCUAUUUUGUAUUCUUAAUUCUUGACUAAAACAGAAAUAAAAUAUCAAGAAUCAUAAUUAUUAUGCAAGUGAACAGAAAAAAUGGCGAGGACAAUAUAUAUUCUACAUAUGUUAUCGACAUAUCCAUAUUUCAAUGAGACAGUUUAGUAAUGAAGCCGUGUAUGAAUAUUAGAAAACUGAAAUCUAUACUACACUCUGGCUGAAAUGGGGGAGAAUUAACAAGUUUAUGUCAAGUACCCCCAAACUAUAUGAUUCAUUUAAUAGAAUAAAUUAAAUUAAUUAUUAUAUUAGGUAUUUACAUGAAUUGAGAGAAGACAUCUUAUAGGUAUCACGUUUUCACUGCGCUUAAGGGUGAGAGUGUUCAAUUGUCUCUCUGAAUUUUUGAGAUGACAAUUAGAAUCAAACCCUAAUUAUUUUAUUUAUAAAAUAACUAAGAGUAAAAAUUGUCCAUUCUAGAGUCCAUUAAACUAAAUACUAUCAAUAAUAUUAUUUAUAGACCACAUAAUUAUUAAAUUGAUAAAUAAAAUGAUUAAAUUAAUGUUAAAUAAUUUUAUAAAUAGUAGAGUUGGCGAUGACGAGUUAUUCGAACUAUGCUCAUCCGAGACAAGCUUGUUUAGGCAAUUCAUUUUCCUUUUCUGAAAAAACAUGGUCAAGUGUGAAAGACUUUGACUGAUUUUAAGGAUGGAAUUAAAGCAAGAAGACGAGGCUAGCUUAGCCAAUGACAUUAUGAAUAUAAAUGAUGCGUUGCGACGAGCAAAUUAAAAAGAUUGGAAUCGUAAUUAGUGAAUAGAUGAUGAUCACCUUAGACCUUAUUCUUUGACUUUGUACGACAAAAGCAUGUACUACUGCUUGAUUGAUUACUUUAAUUUUCCAAGUUGUGUGUAAAAGUAAAACCCACUCGACACUCAAAAAACUAUAUAUCGGAUUCCGACCUAUCUAACCAUUUGGCAAUUUCUGACCACAAGCUUUAUAUAUAUAUAUAUAUGUGCCAUAAAAUUAAUUAAUUCCUACAAAAAAUUCAAAUGUUGCUAAAUCAUUACACGGGAUUAUGCAUUGAACAAUAUGGUGAAAAGGGUAGAGAUAAUUGUCACUUGUUUAUUAUAUACAUGCAAUAAUUGUUUUUCCUUUUGGGAACAGUAGAGAAAAAUUCAAUACAUACCCAUUUCAUCAUAUCAACUAAUCAAUCCUAUAAUCGACUAACAAUUCACAAAAUAUCAACAACUAAACUAACCCGACAAAAAAUCAAAUCAAAUCUUUCAACCUCUCUCCACCUUUUUCCCAAACCAGCCAAUUAAUACAAAAAUGUCAAAAAUCAACCGAAUCCCCAAAAGCCAAAGUACAAAAAAAAAAUCUCUUAAGCACCUACUACCUAAUCUACUUGGAUUUUAAUGGGUGAAAUCAACAUUUUAAACAAGGCUUUCUUAAUUUAAGGUAUUAAAUUAUUUUAAUUUUUAUAAUUAAAAAUAAAAUUAAUUAUUCCUAAAU
rnacentral:lncRNA from 1 species